CACACGGGGCACAGACGCACACUUCCGCGCGGAGCAGUCUCAGCGUGAUGACUCUGAAGCCCCAUCAAUAAGUAGACUGUAGCACUUAUUCGGAUAGAGUACAGUGAGGAGGGAAAAGCGAAGAAGAGUCUUUUGAAACCCACUGAGACACUUAAGCGAGUGGCGGAGAGAGGAGUCACGGUGGGUUGGCAAACUGCUGGAGAGGGAGAUCCGGAGUGUGACUGUCGCUCCUCUCACAAAACGUAGUGAAAUGAGCUCUGGAAUACAGAACAGACAUUGGAUGUUAAUUAUUAAGAUCGCUUUCUUCUGCUCAAGAGGAUUAUGGUGCCAUUAAGGGUGCCAUCAGAAGAGCACAGCACUGUGGCUCCGUUUUUGACUCCCCCCAAAAAAAGAUCUGCUAAUGGUUAGAAUUUCAAGUAAAUGUGGGACUUCUGUAAAGGCAUCAAGAUGGAGCGAAGCGGCGAGCGCACACACUGGGAUGUAGUGAAAGCUGAUAUUCUGCAUAUCUGUGUGUGUGUGUGUGUGUGUGUGUGUGUGUGUGUGUGUGUCCUCCCAAGGGAAAAGUGCAUGUGGGUCUACAACACAACCAAUAGACUUAUACAUGUACUGAUAUCAGUGCUCACGUACCAUGCUGUGAAUGGAUCGGGUCCAGCUUACAUCCAGGACAUGGUCAAACCCGACAUCCCGACCCGCACUGCAUCUGCAAAACUACUCGUCCCUCCCUCACUGAGAGCAAAACACUCGACUAGAUCUCACCUUUUUGCUGUCCUUGCGCCGAAAUGGCGGAACGAGCUCUCUGAAGACACCAGGACCGCAGAGAGCCUUCACAUCUUCAGACUAAAGACACACCUCUUCAGACUCUACCUCGACUAAAAGACUAACAAAUUGUAGCACUUAAAUUGUACUUGUAACGCCACUCAUCUAUAGCAAAUUGUAAAUUGGCUUAUUUGAGGAAAUUGCACUUUCUUGUUUCUUGUUCUUCUGAGUUUGUACCCUAUGGUUGAAUGCACUUAUUCUAAGUCGCUUUGGAUUAAAGCGUCAGCUAAAUGACAUGUAAUGUAAUGUAAUAAUAUAUAACUGCUCAGUUUAAGAUUUGGUUAAAAAAUUAAAGCUUGUGUAUUAGAA
ensembl:lncRNA